AGCUGACAAUGCUCUGGUGGAGGUGGAGGAUCAGUCUCAGUGAAUUCGUGCCUUUAGCAGAUGAUGCUUUAAUCUCCCUUUGGCAUCUCCCUGUCAGUUGCCAAUGCAGCCAUGUGCACAUCUGAGAGCAAAUUUUCUAGGACAGCACUGGGAGCAACCAGCCCCCACAGAUCACAUCUCCAGCUGCAGUGCUGGGCACAUCACUGCUGCUCUUACUGAACAAGGAAGUUUCUUGGGCAACAGCAAGAUGUAACCACUGGCCAUUGCUUAAGUAUUACAGCAUUUGGAGCGUCUCUGUCACAUUCAAAUCAAAAUGCCACUGGUGUGUAACAGCUUGAGAGCUCCUGGCCUCUGCCCACAAAGCUGCACCACUUCAUGGUGCCGAGACAAACACCCUGGCUUCCCCAAAACAAGAGAUCUGAUCCAAGCAACCUGGUCCAGGAGUAUGUCCAAAGUUU